rnacentral:rRNA from 1 species
GAUCAUGGCUCAGGAUGAACGCUAGCUACAGGCUUAACACAUGCAAGUCGAGGGGCAGCGGGAUUGAAGCUUGCUUCAAUUGCCGGCGACCGGCGCACGGGUGAGUAACGCGUAUCCAACCUUCCGUACACUCAGGGAUAGCCUUUCGAAAGAAAGAUUAAUACCUGAUGGUAUGAUGAGAUUGCAUGAUAGCACNUAAGUAAUAUUCGUGU